UACGAAGGGGGCUAGCGUUGCUCGGAAUCACUGGGCGUAAAGGGUGCGUAGGCGGGUCUUUAAGUCAGAGGUGAAAUCCUGGAGCUCAACUCCAGAACUGCCUUUGAUACUGAAGAUCUUGAGUUCGGGAGAGGUGAGUGGAACUGCGAGUGUAGAGGUGAAAUUCGUAGAUAUUCGCAAGAACACCAGUGGCGAAGGCGGCUAACUGGUCCGGUUCUGACGCUGAGGCGCGAAAGCGUGGGGAGCAAACAGG
rnacentral:rRNA from 1 species